rnacentral:lncRNA from 1 species
AAUUGAACCAAAUAAAUUAGGUCCAAUUAGACUAAUUUAAAUCUAACUUAAUUAGGCUUAAUUAGGCUCAAUAAAAUCUUAAUCAAAUCAAGAAUUGACUAAGCCCAACCCCUGAUCAAAUCAGGGACCAAACCAUCUCGACGAUUAGGUCAACUCUUAACCUAAUCGGGUCAAACCCAACUUAAUCCAAUUCAAUUGGACUUGAUCCAAAAAUAAUUACUCAAUCAAAUUAAGUUAAUUAGCAAUCAAAUCACUAAUAAAAUCUCUCAUAAGUAUUGAGUCCAAAUCCGAUGGGUAAUCGGACAUCAGAAUUCAUCGAUAUGUAACCCUGAUCGAAGAGUCCCAAACCAGUGGGACUCUUGACCCCGGUAUCCAAAAUGUGUGGGACUCAUGAUCAGAGAAUCUUGAUUCUCAAUCAUAGAGUUCCAGACACGUAGGACUCAUAGUCCACGAGCAUUAGGACUCUUCAUCAGCCAUCAGAUCAGAUAGGAACCUCUAAUGUGUGUGAUCCCGCAGGUUUGAACCUAAGCCGGUAGCACAGGAACCAAUUCCUGUACUAAUCGAAGUGACCAUCUAGUAAUGGUACCCGAUAUUCAGAUAGAUCGAAGAGUCACAGUCGCAACACUCAGAACCUACAUGAAUAUGGUUACUGUAUAAUUCAUUCUUUUGACCCCUGUGUUUAGGAUAACUCAGGAUUAAACUGUUAAUCCUGAUCAGAUCAUCCGAAUCGUGCUCAACUUAAACAGUCCUGUGACUCCUCACAAGGACUACCCUGGUCAAGGUUUUGCUAAAUUGAAAUACGACUGUACACAGCUCCUAAACUGGAGUGGUCAAUCCCAUCUUGACACACGCACCGACAAGUCAAGUACUUGACUACACCCAGCAGCCUUCCGUCACUGAAUUAAAAAUUCAGGUAGUCCAGUGCCUAAGUGCAGUGAGUUACUUGCAAGUCACCGUGACGGUCUCA